CUCAACUGGUAGGCCUAUAACAUUUCACCAACAAUGCCAAGGCUGCAGGUUUAAUUUACAGGGUUAAUAAAUACCUAUCUAUCUAUCUAUCUAUCUAUCUAUCUAUCUAUCUAUGGUUCGAAAAGGUAGAAAUAUAACAUAAUUUUAUAUGAGCCUUUAUUAUUUAACUGAGUGUUUUUAUUUAUUUUUAUUUUAUUAUUUUUUGUUAUUUUUUUUUACAACGGUACUGUAACUGGUCAGUAGGAAGACACUAGAUGCCGCUCUGUUCUUGUAGAUACAACGACAGGCGAGCGAAGAAGUCUUGGGGUCCUGUUUCAUGUGUUUCUGGGAUACUGGCGGACUGACUGUGCCCUGAAUGUCAUGGCGACCAACAGCGGGCAACUUUCCCGAGGAUUCGUAACUUACACAAAUCAAGAAAUCCACAACACUGACUGAAAACACAGGGUCAACACAUUUUGUCCAAUUUACAGAGCAAAGACUACAGAAAUCAUCACCAAAACCAAAAAUUGGGAUUCAGUUUUUGAAAUGGAGUGUGCAGUAAACACUGGGCCUGAUGAUGAGCCAUCUGAUACUGCUGUUCCAUAUGAGGUCAUUACUGUAACGGAUGGAAGUGAGACCCCAAAAAAGAAAAACAAGAAACAUAAGAAACACAAAAGUAAAAAGAAACGUAAGAAGCGUAAAGGUGAAAAGGAGAGUAGCUCUGAAUCUGGAGUAGACUCAGAUGGCAAUUCCCAAACAAGAACAAGUGUGAAAAAAGAUGGCUCAUCUAACCCUGAGGCUGAUGAUAAUGCGAAUGCCACAAAAAACUGUACAGAAGACCUCAGUGAUGUGGAAGCUGAUGCCAAGGUUAAAAAGCAGAAACAUCGUGUUGGGAAAAAAAAGAAAAAAAGAAGACGGAAAGAGGAGGAAAAGCAGGGAAAAAAGUCCUCAUCUCGCUCAAGAUCGGCGAGUACCUCAGUGUCAGGGUCAGAAUCUGAACCAGACUCCAAACAAUCACAAAAAUUGCAGGUAGCAUCUUUAAAGGUGGACAGAAAGUCACCUAUCAAUGCAGCUAAAAUUCCAAAAGACAAAUUAAAAGAGAGCACACCUCAGUUGGAAGAUAAAAAGAGAGAAAUUACUUCUGAUCACGCUGAAGAAGAAGAAAGUUUAAAAUUAGGAGGGAUAAGACAGAUGUCUCCUGAGACUGCACAUGCAAUAAUCGCAGAGAAGGACAUAAAGGUGGAAAUUGUAGGCGAACAUGAAAAUUUUGGUAAAGCUCAAGAACUUCCUGAUAUUAUCCCUAAGCAAGAGAAUGUCCACAAAGAGCAAGCUGUGCAGAAGGACAUUUCAAAGGAAUCAAAUGGGAAUCAGAAAGAAAAGAAAAAACAGUCCCUCUCCAGGUCAAGGUCACGAUCGCUUUCAGACACUAAAGGGAAAAAAUCCAAACACAGUUGCUCUAAAACUCCAAAGAAGUCAUCUGGUAAAUCAGGACGUCAUAAUGACAGAUCAUCUUCAAGGGAUAGGUCUGUGUCUGCCUCUGGUGGGAAGGAUAGAACAAAACGAAGAAGUUCUAGGUCUCCAUCAAGACGGUCACCAUCCAAAAUAACAAAGAAAACUGGACGGAGGUCAAGGUCAAUCUCUGGAAGAAGAGCAUAUUGCUCUGACUCAAGGUCCCAUACCAGGACCAAAAGAUCCAGGACCAGGUCUCCACGACGUGGUCAUCGUUCAAGAUCUAGGUCAACUGGAAGACCAAGACGUUCACGGUCAAGAUCAAAACAGUCUAUUUCUCGGCGGAAAAAUCGGCGCUCAAGAUCACAGUCCAGAUCUGUAAGGAGAGGAAGACACUCAAGGUCCCGCUCUAGAAAGAAAACACCUCCUCGAGUGAGGCGGUCCAGGUCUAGAUCUGACAGAAGAGCAAGACGAACACGCUCAAGAUCCAUUGUGAUCCUUAAGCGUUCUAGAUCCCGCUUGAGAAGAAACAGAAGAUCUAGAUCAAGAUCUGCUCGCAGAAGAUCAGGUUCAAGAAGCCCAAGACGUCAAAGUAAGUCUCGGUCCCCUCAACGCCCCAGGCCCUCUGAGUCACGUUCUCCUGCAGCCCGUCAAAGGAGGUCAAAAUCUAGGAGCCCUCAUAGCACAAAGUCAGAGUCAGCAUCUCCUCAACGACAUAAAAGAUCAAAGUCACGAACAUCCUCACAUAAUUCAAAGUCUGAAUCCCCAAUAUUAAGAAGAACUAAAAAGCAAAAAGGUAAACGGUCAAGAUCAGUUUCUCAGAGACGCACAUCAAGAUCAAGAUCCAUUUCCAGGGAGCGCCAGUCAACAGAUAGAAGUAUAUCCCCUACCAAAAGAGCACACUCUAAAUCUCCAACUAAAGAGGAAAAGUCCUCAAAGGAUAAGAGUUCAAAAGAAAUCUCAGAGACUAAACAGCAAGUUUUAGAUCCUGUGGAGGAAAAUUUAGAAAUAAAAGGGUCAAGUGGAUGGAAACCAGUGUCUACUGAAUGUACAUCUGUGCAAAAUCCAUCAGAUGAAGAGGUAAAAUCAUCAGAAUGUGAUACACAAAGUAAAAACAUUGAGCAAGAGCCCGAAAAAUCCUCUGAAUAUGAAGAAAGACCAAACCGAUCCAGAUCUCUGUCCUCAGAGCCAGUUCCUCAACAAGUUACUGUAGGGUCAGAUGAAGAUGAUCGCUCAGGGAGCUCACGAUCACCUUCACCGAGUAAAGUAAAAGAAUCAAAGUCCUCCAACAGAACAUCACCUGUUCAAAGAAAGCACUCCAGAUCGGCUUCCCCCACUCAGAAAAGGCGAUCCAAGUCGAAAUCUGUCAAUAGCAAGAGGAGGUCAAGAUCUCCUGUGAGAAAACGCAAGUCCAGGUCUCCCUCACAUAGUCGUAAAAAGAGGACAAAAUCUCGGUCUCCUGUUCGGAAAAGAAGAUCUAGAUCAUCCAAUCGAAGGGCAAAAUCACGAUCGAAAUCUCACACAAGAACAAAGCGCUCAAAAUCAAAAUCCCCCAAGCGGAAACGGUCAAAGUCUAGAUCGCCAGCUCGAAAAAGGAGGUCCAAAUCGCGUUCCCCUGCUAGAAAGAGAAGAUCUCGUUCACGGUCAAGGGCUCGUCAGUCACGAUCCAGAAGAUCACGCUCUGUUUCACGUCGGAGAAGACCAGCAUUUCGUGGACGAUCUUUUGAUAGACGAGAUCGAUGGAAACGUGAACCAAGCCAUUCACCAAUUUUAAUUCUUCGUAAGAGGAGGUCCACCUCAAGAUCUCGACGCAGUUCUAGCAAGACGCCACCACGUCUUACUGACCUAGAUAAAGAUCAACUUUUGGAGAUUGCGAAGGCUAAUGCUGCUGCAAUGUGCGCUAAAGCCGGAAUGCCCAUACCUGAAAGUCUCAAGCCUAAGGCAAUUCUGCAGUUACCUCUGCCAACCCCAGCUCCAGCCCCCUUGUCUUUGCCUCUGCCACUUCCUGUGCCCAAUUUACCUAUGAAUCUGCCCAUGGGUUUACCAGGUAUGCCUGCAAUGCCAAACAUGACAAUGAACGCUGCCAUGGCAAGUAUGACUGCGGCGACAAUGACUGCUGCUCUCUCCAACAUGGGUGCUCUGGCAUCUAUGCCCCCGAUGCCCCCACUUCCUACCAUUACCAACAAGCCCCCUUCAGCACCCACACCUAAUCUGGCUAGUAUUGAGGAGGUGAAGAGGAAAGUGGCUCAACAAGCUAACAGCNAAAUUCUAAAGAAAUUAGUACUUUGUUUAACAGAUAAUUUAAUUUGAUCAAAAGUGACAGUAAAGACUUUUACAGUUUUGGAAAAGAUAUAAAUAUAAAAACAAAGCAUGCUUCUUGAGCACGAAAUCAGCAUAUUCGAAUCACUUCUGAAGGUUCAUGUGACACUGAAAACUGGAGUAAUGGCUGCUGAAAAUUCAUCUUGACCACCACAGGAAUUAAUUAUAUUUUAAAAUAUAUUCAAAAAGAAAAAAUUAUUUAAAAUUUUUUUCACAAUAUGACUUUUUCAUGGUAACUUUGAUUAAAUAAAUGCAGCCUUGGGGGGGCA
ensembl:lncRNA